rnacentral:lncRNA from 1 species
CACUGGAUUCUGCUAAAUAUUGAACUUCACACCUUCAGAGUUCUAAUCAUGGACUCUAUGGAUUCGGAUCCAAAGCGUUGGGCCGACAUGAGAAAAAUGCUGCAAAAGUAAUUAUUUUCAAUCAUUUGAGCUCUAUAUCGAUCGGUCUCUUUCGUUCAUUUCCUAAUAUCAAGUAACUAAUAACUCCCUUGUUCAUUUAAUUUUCUUUGCCUUGUAGGGUUUGGAGACGGUUCUCAGAAGAAAUUGUCGGUGAAUUCAAACAUGAGCUAGAUUUCAGAAGGUUAGUUAAUGUGGAUAAGCAGCCACCGGGGACCAAUCUAUGUGGAUACUAUGUUUGUGAGAACAUCCGGAGACACACCUCUGAGCGGAAGGCAUCGGAUAGCGUGCGGAACGCGACGGAUAACUUGCGGAGGAGGCUUAGUCCAGAAGCUCGCUUCCGACCAAUUCAAGAAGAAUUAGCAGGAUUUUUCAUGAGGGAAGUCAUCAAUCCUAAAGGAGAACACUAUACCGAGGACGAAGAAAUUUAUAUGCAUACCCGAGAUUGAAACUUGUACGAAGUUGUAUAUGGUCAUCCAUCCUAAUUGUGUAUGGAAACUUGUUCGAAGUUGUAUAUGGUCACCCGAGAUUGAAUAUAUAUUAUAUAUUCCUCUUGAAUUCUUCUUGUUUGAAAUUUCAUAUGCAUGUAUAUAGUAGCGUAGAAUAUGUGUACUGAAACUUUAUCAAAAUUAAAAUAAAACACAAAAUAUAAUAUAAAAGAAAUAAAACACUCCAAACUAAAAAGAAACCAGGUUUAGGGGGGCUAAAACCCUAAACCUGCGGAGGAGGCCUUUAGUCCCGGUUGGCCACGAGAGCCGGGACUAAAGGUCCUCCGCCCCGACGGACCACGGGCGCCCACGUGGACGGGCCUUUAGUCCCGGUCAGCCACAAGAACCGGGACUAAAGCCUUUAGUCGCGGUCCGUAAGAGGCGCGACUAAGGGGGGGAGGAUCUUUAGUCGCGCAUAUUUAGUCCCGGUUGCACAGCCGGGACUAAAGGCUGUUGCGAACCGGGACUAAAGGGCUUUUUUCUACCAGUGGAGCUCCAUGGAGCUCGGCCUUUGCAACGCCACACUCCUAAAUGGGCCGACUACUAGGGCUGCCAAUUACAGGUAUUCUUUAUUUGUUCAUAAACAUCAAAAACCGUGUAUUCAUUUUUUACACACUGAAAACUAUGAUUACAAAUAAAUUGAUAAUGGAAACUGUUUGCUUAUUAUGGAAUAGUGUCGUGCAUUUAAAAGUUGAUGUUCAUGAGUUUAAAAAGAAAUGUUCACGUACUUCAAAAAGUAUUUACAUAACUCGAAGGAGAUGUUCAUGUAUUCAAAUAAAAAUGUCCAUACAUAUGAAAUAAAUCCUUAUGACUUAAAUAAAUCACGUUUUAAAAGUAAAUGUUCACAUACUACCAAAAUGUUCAACUGUUUGUAAAAAAAGAUGUAAAUAAUAAAUAAUAGUGAACUUUUAAAAAUAGAAACAACAAAAAGUAAUCCCUGAUCAUGGGCAGUAUGAUUUGAUCUAUACUCUUUGCAAUGAGUGUAUGAUAGGGUUCACUCAUAAAACUUACACCUCGCGUAUUGCGAAAUAUAGCAAGCACUUGCCAAUGUGCGCGUGCACAUUUACCACAGCCCAGCACAACUUGUUUUGGUUUUUAUUGUUUGUUGUUUGUUUAAAUUUCCGUUAUUUCUUUCCGUUUUGUGUCUCUUAUAAUUUCUAUUUUUUUUUGUUACUUUUUCUUAUUUCUUGUAUUUAAUUUCUCGCAUUUUUACUCCUCUUUCCUUUUUUUUCUUCUGUUUGACCAUUUCUUUUUAUUUUUGGUAUAUCAUAUUUUUUUGGUUACGUAUAUUAACACUACAUUUUAAGAAAAAUCGUACUUUUAAAAACAUACAAACAUUUUAUGAAAAAGGUUAACACUUUAAGAAAACAAAUGAAUUUCACAAAAAUAUUUGAAUAAUUUUGAAUUAAUUAUAUAUUUUUCCAAAAAUCAGAAUUUUAAAAAAAUUACAUGAACAUUUUGGAAGAGCUCUGCUUUUUGUAAUGCUGCAUUAUUUUUCGGUAAAAGUAUGUGAACAUUUAUUUAUUUAGAUAAACAUGUCUAAAAAGUGUGUGAAAAUGUUUUUAUGUACAUUAAUACUUUCUAAAAUAUGUUAACACUGUUUCAGUUAGAUGAGAAUUUUUAAAUACGUAAAUACUUUUUGGUUACAUGAAUGUUGUUUAAAAAGUACGUGUAUAUUUAAUGCAGUAUGCAAACAGUUUUUAGAAGUACAUGAAUUAUUUAUUUGUUUAGACGUGCAUGUAUGUUUUACAACAAAUGAUGUUUUACCUACCAAUCGUGGACAUAAGGCUAUUGGGUUGGCCAUCUUGGCGUGUCCCAUUAACAGGUAUUUCUUCUUUUUUUUGAUAAAUUGUGAAAGUAUAUUUAUCUUGCUAAUAUUCAUGCACUUUCAAAAAUGUUUACUGAAUUUCCAAAAAAGCCAAAAAGUCAAAAAAAUAAAAUGAAAAGGAUAAGUAGAAAAAAUGCCGAACCCGUGGGGAAAAAUAGAAAAGACUCGCAAUGAAAAUCAGUAGAACCAACUAUAGCUACAGUUACCGCUCUUGUAUGUAGCCUGCCACUAUGACGCUCUCGUCUGUGUGUUUCAGCGACAAUUUGUGGCAACGGGCAAAGAAUAUGAAAUUCCCUUUGUUAUGGGCUUUGUGUACACGCCACGCCCCUAAGCCUAAGGAAAACAUUUUGGCCCGUGAGAGAUUACCUCAGGAGAUGUAUGUAUUUUUUACAUGGCUCGAACAAGGUUCAAGUGACGCAAGUGUCCGAUGGAAGUAGAUGAAGCUCCCAGUUUCUUGUUAUCGCAUGUACUACUCGAUGUAACUCUGUCAAACAGAGAGUGGGACCCAGCUAACAGCGGAUGAGUAGUGCUGAUUGGGCCCUACUCUGGGACUCAGGUUCCCGCGUAAUAUGAUGCCAUAUAGCUGCAUUUUCUGAACCGUUAGCGGCACAAUUUUUAAGAUGAUUAUCAAACCAAACGCCCCUAAGCCUAAGGAAAACAUUUGUGUUCUGCGAUCAGCGCCUAAUUCUUACAAUGGUCAGAACACGUGGUAUUUAAGAUGUAUGGUGGAAGAAGACCCUUAGAUGGCUAGAGAGCCUUGACUAUGGUGCUGUCCAUGGUCCCUUUUGUUGCUUGACGAGCCUGCGCGCUCUGUACGGGCUAUGCCCUGUAAUUUGUCUUCGGUUCGGUUGAGUCGCGCAUGAAACUUUCGAUGAUCCUUUUGCGCUGGCCGGGUAGGCCUGUGGGGUUGUAAUAUGACUUGUUCACGCUGCCGCUGUGGCUUUAUUAAUUUAAAGCCGGACGCGUUCGUGCGUCUUCGUUCUAAAAAAAAGACCAUUAGAUCGAAGUAAAGCAUCACAAGAACAAUAUUAUCAUAGAAAACAACAUCACAAAAGAUACAACAAGGCCAACAGUAGGUGGAGGCGUAUGCACUUGAGAAAGGAUGCGUGUGUGCUGAUAUCUCUACCUCAACUGAUCAAGAUUACAACAAAUUCAGCACACAUGCAUGCGUUACUGUCCACCCUAGACUACUCUAGAAGCCCAUGGUGUACACACCAUAUGUCUGCUUGUACAAAUUCCAACACUUUUUGUCAAUCGCUACUUUAUCAAGUUGAGAAAUGUGCCCCUUUGGCCAUAACAAAGCUUUGCUUUUGGGUCUGUAUCAAACCGCUUUAUUUGUUUUGUACUACUUUUUGUUGUAAACGCUUUUAAGGGCUUCAGUUCGCUAAAGCCAGGCAAGCGCCUCCUUUCUAAAAGAUUGUUCCUAAAGUUAUCUAGUUUUGCCUGUUAGAUAAUCGCUUUGGAAACACAUGUACAACUUGUGCCGGGAUGCGUGCGUGUUGAUAUAAGGUGCCGGUUUGGCUAGAUUACAGAGGAGUUCGGUUGAGACGUGGAUUGGAUCCCAAGUUAGCUAUAUAGAUAAGGAUCCUUUCUCUCUCCCAACCAGAUCUGCAUCAGGCGUGUGUGGUAAACAAAACCAAAAUCAGUUCAGAAAGCGCCAUUUCUGACUGGACAAGCUUAUUUCUGACAUAUCUGAUUGCAAAAGCUAGGUUCACUGGCCUAGCUAACGGCAGAGACAUCUUUUUCAUAGUAUAAAUAGACCCCUUAAUUAAGCUCAUGGCCAUAUCCAACAAACCAUUUGUUGUAGAACAUCAUCCAUAGCCAGCAGCCACAAUGGAAGCGAGCGCGCAACAAGGCAACUAUGUCCAAGUCUACGUCAUGCUCCCUGUAAGCACCAUCCAUUCAACUCAAUCUCUACGCACCAUGCACUACAACUAUUUCAAGGAUCUAAUUGACACAUGCAAUGCUGUACAUAUAAUACCGUUAUUCGUAACACUCUAGUUUAAAGGGUGAAGUUAACAAGAUCUGAGGCCUCAAAUGAGCAUUUUUUUGGUACUAACCUUGACUUCGUUUUCGUUGUGGAAAUAAAUAGCUGGACAUCGUGAGCGUGAACAACAGGUUCGAGAAGGGUGACGAGCUCAGGGGGCAACUGAAGAGGCUGGUAGAGGCCGGUGUGGAUGGUGUCAUGGUAGACGUCUGGUGGGGCUUGGUGGAGGGCAAGGGCCCCAGGGUGUACGACUGGUCCGCCUACAAGCAAUUGUUUGAGCUGGUGCAUGAGGCUGGACUGAAGUUACAAGCCAUCAUGUCAUUCCACCAGUGUGGUGGCAACGUCGGUGACGUCGUCAACAUCCCGAUCCCGCAGUGGGUGCGUAAUGUCGGAGUGAGUGAUCCGGACAUUUUCUACACCGACCAGCACGGGACUAGGAACAUUGAGUACCUCACCCUUGGAGUUGAUGACCAGCCUCUCUUCCAUGGAAGAUCUGCCGUCCAGGUUAAUUUUAAACCACCACUCUAGUUCUCUCGUACUUAUUUUUUUUCACUCAAAUGUGUGAUGUUUUGUGUAUAUUAGAGAGAAAAUUUCAAGAUGAAUCCAAAUACAAGCAAAAGGCCAAAAGGUGGCAAAAAUAUAUAACAAAAGAAACGAAAUCUAGCCAGUGAAAAGAAUAUAGAGCCUAACCAACAACAACAUCGAGAAGGUUACUAGAGAGGAUGAGUCUUGACAACACUUCAGCUCUCAUGCAUUUUUUUGGGGGGUGUGAAAAACACCGACCUCUGAAUCGAUUGAUGCAGACAAUAUUCUAUUGUAAGCUAUUAGGAAGAACAAAUAGUUGUGAUUUUGAUAGGUACAAUGUGCUGAUGAUAGAAUGCUUUGAUUCUUCUUCGUGGCUGUGACAGAUGUACGCCGAUUACAUGGCAAGCUUCAGGGACAACAUGAAAGAGUUCUUGGAUGCCGGUCUUAUUGUAGACAUUGAAGUCGGACUUGGCCCAGCUGGAGAGUUGAGGUACCCAUCCUAUCCUCAGAGCCACGGAUGGUCAUUCCCAGGCAUCGGAGAAUUCAUCGUGAGUGUUUUCUUCUCGAAUAAAAAUGCUUCCUCUUCUGUUCCGACCAAUAUAUACUUUUGCAUGUAACAUGUGAUGACCAAAUGCGGUUUAGUAUCGUCCAAGUGACAAUCUACAUUGGAAAAGUUUUUUCAACAAACCAACACCCAAAUGAAAAGUGAUUCUUAUGAAAAAUGCAAGGAUAAAAUGGCAAUUUCAGAUCAGAACAAGGCAUGGCUAAACCCGACUUCAUCAGUUCUGCUAUCCCAUAUACCCCUGUCCCAAUUUUCUCUUUUUUAUUUCUCCUAUAUAAGACAUCAUACAAACUUGAUACAUUCGAACUACAAUAUGAGAAAAAUAUAGGAUUCAUUUGUGCAACAUAAAUACAUAAACUGAUAUUUUUAUUGGGAAAAGACAGAUUUCAUAUAUUUAUGCUACACCAAAAAAAUAAUCCAAAAUGGCUUUCUGCACAUUAUAGUCCAUAUUUCAAGUUCAUAUAUUAUUUUUUGGAAGAAACAAAAAAUAAGUAUCUGUAUGGUGAGAAUAGUGGGGGAGGGGGGGGUGUUGCACCUGAAUCCAAGUUUAGGAAGGUUACCAUUACUUUUGGCUUCCGAGAGACAAGUAUCAUAAGCAAAGACAAGGCCAUCUAAAAAUAGAUGAUAGGAAAUAAUUAAAACAAAUGUAAAAUAAUCUAUACCAUCACCAUUAAAGACAAAAUGACUCCAUUUAUUAACUGUUUUAACUAAUAGUACAAAUAAAAAAAAAUCUGCAGUGCUAUGAUAAGUACCUGCAAGCAGACUUCAAAGCAGCAGCAGCGAUGGUUGGCCAUCCUGAGUGGGAAUUUCCUCGCGAUGCCGGGACGUACAAUGACACUCCCCAGAGAACUCGAUUCUUCGUGGACAACGGAACAUAUCUCACUGAGCAGGGGAGGUUUUUCCUUGCAUGGUACUCCAAUAACCUGAUCAAGCAUGGUGACAAGAUCUUGGACGAAGCAAACAAGGUCUUCUUGGGACACACAGUGCAACUGGCAAUCAAAGUAAGUACCAUCAUCCUAAAGAUCUCAGUUUAUUACAAUAGUAGAUAGGAUUUGAGAACCCAUGAUUCAGUUGAGAAGUAGUGUAUGAUAAACUACAAAAAAUACACAAAUUCAUUAUAACACUCUAGGCUAAAGGAACUUGCAUUUUCUUAAUCUAGAAUGUAAAUGAGACAUGGCCAAAUCUUUGGUUACAGAUCUCUGGCAUUCACUGGUGGUACAAGGUUCCAAGCCAUGCAGCCGAGGUCACAGCUGGGUACUACAACUUACAUGAUAGAGACGGCUACAGACCCAUAGCACGCAUGCUCAAAAGGCACCAUGCUAGUCUUAACUUCACUUGCGCCGAGAUGAGGGACUCGGAGCAAAGCUCACAGGCGAUGAGCGCACCGGAAGAACUAGUCCAACAGGUAGGUACCUUGUGCCUCCAGAUUUUACGCUUAGACAUCUCUGAUAGACACAUCUCACGUACUUGUCGUCGAAAUUCUCAGGUGUUGAGCGCUGGAUGGAGAGAGGGCCUAAAUAUGGCAUGCGAAAAUGCACUUCCUCGAUAUGAUCCAACUGCUUACAACACCAUACUCAGGAAUGCGAGGCCUCAUGGCAUCAACAAGAGCGGCCCUCCUGAGCACAAGCUGUUUGGAUUCACCUACCUUCGGCUGUCGAAUCAGUUGGUGGAGGGACAAAACUAUGUCAAUUUCAAGACCUUUGUUGACAGAAUGCAUGCCAACCUGGUUAGUGCCACAACCACUUAUUCACGCAUGUAAAAAAUAAAACAGAGGAAUCAUAAAUUUGUUGAUUUGCAUCGGCCUAUAAUAAUAAUGUAAUUUGAUCCUUUUCAGCCUCAUGACCCAUGUGUUGAUCCAGUGGCGCCUUUGCAAAGAUCAGGGCCAGAACUGACGAUUGAAAUGAUCCUACAAGCAGCGCAGCCAAAACUGGAGCCAUUCCCCUUUGAAGAGCACACCGACCUGCCAGUUCAAGGCCUCGGUGGCAUCGGUGGUGGGGAGGUUGAAGACCCCACUGGUGGCAUGGGUGGGGAGGUUCAACAAGACCCCACUGGUGGCAUGGGUGGGGAGGUUCAACAAGACCCCACUGGUGGCAUGGGUGGGGAGGUUGAAGACCCUACCGGUGGCAUGGGUGGGGAGCUCCCUCCCACCGUGUAGUGAAACCUUUACUAUCUACAAUACCUUUUAUGUUGUGUGUCACAGAGAAACCUUUCUCUGCCUUAUUAACAAUAAAUAAAGCACAUUACUUGUGCGUGUUCUGGAAGAAAAAUCUCAGCGUUGUAGUCUACGAGAAGGGUUAAUCGUCUCUUUGUGAGAAUUGACGCGCCCUAAAAGUAAGCCGAUGAGGAUAAAUAAGAUGUGGUGCUACGGUACAUCAUGAGGAUUACUCAUCAAUAUUGGAUUAGUCAUCAGAAGGAUGCUUUUCCGACGAGCUGUAGUACAUCAGACCUUACAUACCUCCAUUAUGUGCAUAUGAGUGAAUGAAUAAAGUAUAUUGUGCUCAUUUAGUGAUUGUAUAUGGGUCCAUCAUUUUGGAUUUUGUCGUGGUCUUGGAAUACGGUGGGAAGGAUAUCUAGUGCAUGUUCACGAUUACCACUCGCAUGGUUU